CCUACGGGAGGCUGCAGUAGGGAAUAUUGCUCAAUGGGGGAAACCCUGAUGCAGCAACGCCGCGUGGGGGAUGAAGGUUUUCGGAUUGUAAACUCCUUUUGUUAGAGCAGAUAAUGACGGUAUCUAACGAAUAAGCGCCGGCUAACUCCGUGCCAGCAGCCGCGGUACUACGGAGGGUGCAAGCGUUACUCGGAAUCACUGGGCGGAAAGGGCGCGUAGGCGGUAUAGCAAGUCAGAUGUGAAAUCCUAUGGCUUAACCAGAGAACUGCAUUUGAAGCUGUGAUUCUAGAGUAUGGGAGAGGUAGGUGGAAUUCUUGGUGUAGCGGUGAAAUCCGUAGAGAUCAAGAGGAAUACUCAUUGCGAAGGCGACCUGCUAGAACAUAACUGACGCUGAUGCGCGAAAGCGUGGGGAGCAAACAGGAUUAGAUACCCGUGUAGUC
rnacentral:rRNA from 1 species